rfam:Gossypium raimondii chromosome 7, whole genome shotgun sequence.
CUAGUGGAGUUUUUAAACUCCACAAACAGGGUUAGGAGAUUGAUA